ACUUACAAGUGAAGAGGAAUACCACUAGAUCGUAAUACUACGUGGCAGAUAAUAUCGUUUGUUAAAAAAAAAUAUCAAAGACUUUGUAAAAGUCCAUUUAAAGGGAUGUGGGUAAAAAGUCCAUGAUAAACUCACUCAUAGCUUGCAAACUGGGCCCGUGAGAGGCCCAUUAACUGCCGGCCUCGAACUCGAAGGCAUAAUAGGCGCCACGCUUACAAUGUGGCGCCAGUACCGGAUCCUGGCUUUAUCCCUCUUAAACCCUUCCUCACCCAAGAGACUGUCUGCAAAUCGCUCUAACAUCGAAGCGUUUCUUCAGCAUCUUAUCCUCCUUCACCAAACCAUCCAUGGCGUUUCGAAUCAAAGAAAUUUUCACCGAGUUGUAAUUUUAUUUAUGUUUUAGUUCUUCUGGAAAUUGCUCGAGCAUUGGAAGCAGCAAUGGCGACCCUUUAUCCUUCUCACUUGUUAUCUGCGUCCUCCCACCUCCAAUCCUCCACUAAAAUGGCGUUCAGGCCUCACCCUUCUCCUUCUUCCCAUGCGCUCAAGAUGGGUGUGGCACAGUGUAAUGAAAUACAUGUCUUUGGUCAGAGUUUUAAGCCUUAUGGGCUGCGUACAAAUUCUCGGCACAAUAUCUUGCAUGCGAUAAAUAUGACUGCAGGACAGCCGGAUGACUCGGGGAAGAUGAAAUUUGAUCAGCUGAUUGAUAAAGCGAGACAAGUGUGGGAAAGUUCUCCACAGCCUGUCAAGAGCUUCCCUUGGAAAAGCAGCACAAAACUUUGUUCAACUCAUCAUUGACCUUAUACUAGCAGUUGUCAAGUACUUGUGUGUACCUCUAUUUGCAGUUUCCUUGCUUAGUGAAAUGUCUUACUGUGCUCAUGAAAGGAAGUUGUUUUUCAUUCCUAUUCCUGUCCUCUUUGGAAUGACUAUUGCCGAAGUCUUUAAACUGGCAGCACUGGAUGCUUCUCCACGUCUUAAGGAUGCAGAAGUUCCCUGGCAUCUGAUUCUUAUGGCAAUUUUCUUCACACUGCUCAAAUUGCCGGGUCCAUAUUACCCAUUUUGUGGGAGAAUAUUAGUCCCACACUUUGCUAAUGGGGGUUUGUUGAGGACAUUAUGGCUUGCGUUUUUGUGGUACAGAAGACCUCAAAAGGCAUUGAGAAUGGCACCAUCACAACAUGCUGAAAGUGACAGUCAGUCUGAAGUUGAGCCAAAUAAGCUCUAGCUCGUGCGUCCAAAACUGCACCAGAAAGAAAUUACUCAAAGGGUGAAGCAGCAUCGAUUUGGAGAUAUAAUGAGCGGUUCUUGGGAUGCCUUUGGUGGUCUAGGUAACUGCUACACAUUUUGCCUAGUUAGGAAACCUUUUUAACUCUCAUUUCUAUUUGUUUUGUUUGGUUGGGAGAGGAAGGCGUGCAGGUUUCGAGUAGCUAAGGAGAAAUUUAAUAUUAAGUAUGUCGGAAAAUUAUUGAUACACGAUAUACAGAUUCUUGAAGCUCUGUGUUGUGAUUGUUUGUCUUCAUACAAGUGUACCCUAGAGAAGGACAUAUUUAAACAGAAAUCAUCGACUUUACAAUAUACCAUUGAUUCCAAAAU